GUCGAGGGGCAGCGGGAAGGUUAGCUUGCUAAUCUUUGCCGGCGACCGGCGCACGGGUGAGUAACACGUAUGCAACCUGUCCGGUACAGGGGGAUAAGCGGCGGAAACGCCGUCUAAUACCGCGUGACAACCCGAGGGGGCAUCCCCUUGGGUUCAAAGGAGAGAUCCGGUACCGGCUGGGCAUGCGGCGCAUUAGCUAGUUGGCGGGGCAACGGCCCACCAAGGCGACGAUGCGUAGGGGUUCUGAGAGGAAGGUCCCCCACACUGGAACUGAGACACGGUCCAGACUCCUACGGGAGGCAGCAGUGAGGAAUAUUGGUCAAUGGGCGCAAGCCUGAACCAGCCAAGUCGCGUGAGGGAAGACGGCCCUACGGGUUGUAAACCUCUUUUGCCGGGGAGCAAGCCUGAGCACGUGUGCCCAGGCGGAGAGUACCCGGAGAAAAAGCAUCGGCUAACUCCGUGCCAGCAGCCGCGGUAAUACGGAGGAUGCGAGCGUUAUCCGGAUUUAUUGGGUUUAAAGGGUGCGCAGGCGGGCUGUUAAGCCGGCGGUAAAAAUUCAGGGCUCAACCCUGUCGAGCCGUCGGAACUGGCAGUCUUGAGUGGGCGAGAAGUAUGCGGAAUGCGUGGUGUAGCGGUGAAAUGCAUAGAUAUCACGCAGAACGCCGAUUGCGAAGGCAGCAUACCGGCGCCCAACUGACGCUGAGGCACGAAAGCGUGGGGAUCGAACAAGGUUAGAUACCCUGGUAGUCCACGCAGUAAA
rnacentral:rRNA from 1 species